UACAGAGGGUGCGAGCGUUGUCCGGAAUCACUGGGCGUAAAGGGCGCGUAGGUGGCGACCCAAGUCCAUGGUGAAAGCUCGAUGCUCAACAUCGAGUCGGCCACGGAUACUGGGUUGCUCGAGCACUGUAGGGGCAGAUGGAAUUCCGGGUGUAGCGGUGGAAUGCGUAGAGAUCCGGAAGAACACCGGUGGCGAAGGCGGUCUGCUGGGCAGUUGCUGACACUGAGGCGCGACAGCGUGGGGAGCAAACAGG
rnacentral:rRNA from 1 species